rfam:Canis lupus familiaris chromosome 25, whole genome shotgun sequence.
GCCUGGGUGGCUCAGUGGUUGAGCGUCUGACUUGGGCUCAGGUCAUGAUCCCGGGUCCUGGGAUCAAGUCCCGAGUCAGGCU